GGAUAACCUGCCCUAUCGUCUGGAGUAACCUCGGGAAACUGAGAAUAAGGCCGGAUAGUUCACGAAGCCUGGAACGGUUUGUGAAUCAAGGUAGGAUGGGUCUGCGGCGUAUCAGGUAGUAGGGGGUGUAAAGGACCCCCUAGCCUUCGACGCGUACGGGUGUUGGGAGACAUAGUCCGGAGAUGGAUUCUGAGACACGAAUCCAGACCCUACGGGGUGCAGCAGGCGCGAAAACUUCACACUGCAGGAAACUGUGAUGAGGGAACUCCAAGUGUGUGCACUAUGUGUACACUUUUAUGAACUUUUAAUCGGUUCAGGAAUAAGGGCUGGGAAAGACCGGUGCCAGCCGCCGCGGUAAUACCGGCAGCUCAAGUGGUCGUCGCUUUUAUUGGGCCUAAAACGUCCGUAGCCUGUUUGGUAAAUCUGUGGGUAAAUCAACUCGCUCAACGAGUUGAAUUCUGCAGAGACUGCCAGACUAGGGACCGGGAGAGGUGUGGGGUACUCGAGGGGUAGGGGUAAAAUCCUGUCAUCCUUCGAGGACCACCAGUUGCGAAGGCGCCACACUGGAACGGAUCCGACGGUCAGGGACGAAGCCUAGGGGCACGAACCGGAUUAGAUACCCGGGUAGUCCUAGGUGUAAACGCUGUGAACUUGGUGUCGGGGGUCCGCAAGGGGUCCCCGGUGCCGGAGUGAAGAUGUUAAGUUCACUGCCUGGGGAGUACGGUCGCAAGGCUGAAACUU
rnacentral:rRNA from 1 species